rnacentral:rRNA from 1 species
AUGGCUCAGAUUGAACGCUAGCGGGAUGCCUUACACAUGCAAGUCGAACGGCAGCACGGACUUCGGUCUGGUGGCGAGUGGCGAACGGGUGAGUAAUGUAUCGGAACGUGCCUAGUAGCGGGGGAUAACUACGCGAAAGCGUAGCUAAUACCGCAUACGCCCUACGGGGGAAAGCAGGGGAUCGCAAGACCUUGCACUAUUAGAGCGGCCGAUAUCGGAUUAGCUAGUUGGUGGGGUAACGGCUCACCAAGGCGACGAUCCGUAGCUGGUUUGAGAGGACGACCAGCCACACUGGGACUGAGACACGGCCCAGACUCCUACGGGAGGCAGCAGUGGGGAAUUUUGGACAAUGGGGGAAACCCUGAUCCAGCCAUCCCGCGUGUGCGAUGAAGGCCUUCGGGUUGUAAAGCACUUUUGGCAGGAAAGAAACGUCAUGGGUUAAUACCCCGUGAAACUGACGGUACCUGCAGAAUAAGCACCGGCUAACUACGUGCCAGCAGCCGCGGUAAUACGUAGGGUGCAAGCGUUAAUCGGAAUUACUGGGCGUAAAGCGUGCGCAGGCGGUUCGGAAAGAAAGAUGUGAAAUCCCAGAGCUUAACUUUGGAACUGCAUUUUUAACUACCGAGCUAGAGUGUGUCAGAGGGAGGUGGAAUUCCGCGUGUAGCAGUGAAAUGCGUAGAUAUGCGGAGGAACACCGAUGGCGAAGGCAGCCUCCUGGAU